rnacentral:lncRNA from 1 species
UGAAAUUUCACUUAAAUGCCCAAUGUAAUUACAUUGAAAAUUCACAGUAAUUACAUACAGUGUGUUACUCUGAAUAUCCACUGAAAAAAUUACAUACACUGUAAUUACUCUGAAUAUACACUGUAAUUACACUGAAAAAACAUUGUACUUACACUGUAAUUACUCUAAAUAUACACUGUAAUUACACUGAAAAAACAUUGUACUUACAUUGUAAAAGACUAUGUAAUUGCAGUUCAAUUUGACUGCAAAAAAUACAACGGAAUACAGUAUAAUAUCUCUGAAAAUCCUCUUAAAUGCCCAUUGUAGUUAGACUAAGAAAUCACUGUAAUUACAUUGUAAUGUAAACUGGGAUUACUCUAGAAAAUCCACUAAAAUCCCCAUGGUAAUUGCACUGAAAUUCCAUUCUAGUUACAAAUAAAAAACACUGUAACUCUACUGAAAUGCAAUGUAAUUACACAACUAGAAAAAAUACACAUUAUUUGAGCACUUGAUAUGUCAACACUCAAUAGUAGCUUCACUUUCAGCUCCUAGUUAAUUGCACAUCUCUAAUAUGCAAGCACCUGCAAAAUCACCAGAUAAUUUGCAGAGAUCACAUAAUCUAUCUAUUCCACGGCACAAAACUGGUCAGUUUGCAUAAAAGCACUAGGGACAUAGCAUAACCACAAUAUUUAGCAUGUACAGUGGCAAAAAAAAAGAGCAUUUCCAAAGUAGUAAAUUAUAGUAGCUAUAAGCCCCAAAACAUUGAAAAUACAGUUACCAAGCUGCUGAAAUUACAUAUACUAGAAAAUCAUGUGCACAACUAAGGUUUCUUACACAAAUGGGCAGAAAUAAAGUACGAGUAUACAAAUAACCCUAACAAAAGAAAAUAAAUGGUUCUAAAGUGAAUGCACCAACAAUGACAAAACACAAAACAUCCAGAGAGGUAAAUUAACUAAAAGAUAAUGUGAUUACUCUAAAAUCCUCACUGUAAUUACACUGAAAUCCCCACUGUAAUUACAAUUCAAAAGCACUAUAAUUCCACUGAAAAUGCACACAAUAAUUGCACUGAAAUUUCAUUGAAAAUGCACACAGUAAUUGCACUAAAAUUUUACUGAAACAUACAUUGUGUUCAGUACAAAUUUCAGUAAAAUUACACUGUAUUUCUAAUAAAAACAUAUGCGUUUAAGAGACUAGAACAUUGUGAUUACACUUUAGUUUCAGUAUUUUCCAUUUAGACUUUCAAAUGGUAAAAUGGAUUCAAUACAAAUCCAACAAAGAGAAACCCAAAAUGUUAGGUUCUAAAAGUGCAAGCGGGCAUUGCAAAACUAGGAAACUUCCACGACUUGCCUAUGGAACUUGCAGUACUAAAAAACUAGGAAACUCACCAGUGUGAUAAAAAUUCAAAAAUGUUGCAAACUAAUGGAAUUCAAAUGGAAGUUACACUACUUACUUAUGGAACUUACACUACUGAUUAGGGAACUCAAACCUAUGACUACAUGACUCGUCGAGCGGGGCCUUGAUUUCUAUAAACACCUCACCAUUGAAUGAGAAACUUAGUCUCCGAAACGACUAAGACAGAAGACAUGGUCAAGCCGACGCCGCCCUUGCUCACAUGCCCGAAUGGAAUCAAUAUUUCCUUCGUCUAGUCUGGAAGGGAAAAAGACUGGCAGGGAACAGGACCGUGACUCUAAACCAUUACAUGAAAGAGAAGUUCAUUCUCGUCAUGAUCUUGAAAUGUAACACACACAAAACCCUAAGCAUCAAAUAUAUGAGGAUACAACAACACUGACAUGACCAUAUCAAACCAUACUACAGAAUGAGUGAAAAACUGAAAUUGCAUAACACCAAAACUGAAAAUUACACAACCUAAUAAGGAGAUAGCAUCUAAAGUACCAACACCACACUACAGAAGUACUAGGGCAGAGAAAUUCAUGAACAAAAAAUAGCUGAAGAUACAACACAGACCACCAAACACAUACAAAACCAAAACAGAAUGAAUAAGAACAUUCACAUGACUAAGAACCUGACUUCAGACGAGGGAGGUUUUCCUAAAUUACUACUGCAUCUCUACAUCCCUUGAACCUAAAUUCAGAUCAAGGAUUGACAAUUAGGACCUGCAUCUACAUCACAAGGGCCAUUAGAAUAAAAAUUGACUGGUGAACCAAAUUCAGAGCAAGGAGCAAGGAUUGACCAUUAGCACCUACUUCUACAUCACACAGACGAGCAAAAUCAACUGACCAGGGCAAAGGAAAUUUAGAGCAAGGACUGAAAUAAGCAACUGCAUCUAGAUCACACGAACAUACAAAAACAAACGACCAUGGAACCUACAUCUAACCCCCAAAAAACACCCUCUGAAUCAAACUCCCAGGCUAGCAGAUAUCAAAUCAACGAGGGAAGAGCAAGGACCCACAUCUACAUAACAAGAACGAUCAGGAAUAAAACUACCAAUACCACUAGAUCCAGCAGAUCAGACGCCUAGGCCAGCACAUAGAAAAUUGACAGGGGAAACGAAUCCACCGCUACAUCCAUGCACCUACCACUACAAGAACAACAAAAAUCGCUAGAGAAAAUCCACCGCUACGAGUACACGUACACGUACAUCUAUAUCAAGCACCAGGGGAAUCGAAUCAAACCAGUAGAUCUAGAAGAAAUCCAAUGGGGAAAGAGAGCAGACGAGAAUAACCAACCGAAACCACAAGGAACUGGAUCAGAAAUCAAGUUGCAGUAGAGAAGGAGCUCGGAAUCGCCAUGGUCGA